ACAGCAAGCCAUCUUAUCGCCGCGAAUUUAUUCGGGGAGGAAAGUCCGGGCAACGCAGAGCAUCCUACUUCCUAACGGGAAGGGGCUGUUUUGGAGACGAAACAGCUACAGCAAGUGCCACAGAAAAUUACCGCCUGCAGCAUGCAGGUAAGGGUGAAAAGGUGCGGUAAGAGCGCACCAGCGGCUGGGUGACCAUUCCGGCUGGGUAAACCUUAGGAGUUGAAAGACCAAAUAGGCUGGCAGCGCCUCGCUUCGGCGGGGCUAAGGGCUGCUCGUCCGAUGUCAGUGGGUAGGUCGAUGGAGCCUGUGCGCGAGUGCAGGCCUAGAUAAAUGAUAAGACGCACGCCUCCGGGCGUAGCGACAGAACCCGGCUUACAGGCUUGCUGUUAAA
rnacentral:RNase_P_RNA from 1 species